rnacentral:rRNA from 1 species
GGCGGCGGCUUACCAUGCAAGUCGAGCGGGCGUAGCAAUACGUCAGCGGCAGACGGGUGAGUAACGCGUGGGAACGUACCUUUUGGUUCGGAACAACACAGGGAAACUUGUGCUAAUACCGGAUAAGCCCUUACGGGGAAAGAUUUAUCGCCGAAAGAUCGGCCCGCGUCUGAUUAGCUAGUUGGUAGGGUAAUGGCCUACCAAGGCGACGAUCAGUAGCUGGUCUGAGAGGAUGAUCAGCCACAUUGGGACUGAGACACGGCCCAAACUCCUACGGGAGGCAGCAGUGGGGAAUAUUGGACAAUGGGGGCAACCCUGAUCCAGCCAUGCCGCGUGAGUGAUGAAGGCCCUAGGGUUGUAAAGCUCUUUUGUGCGGGAAGAUAAUGACGGUACCGCAAGAAUAAGCCCCGGCUAACUUCGUGCCAG